CCUACGGGCGGCAGCAGUGAGGAAUAUUGGUCAAUGGGCGCGAGCCUGAACCAGCCAAGCCGCGUGAAGGACGAAGGUGCCAAGCAUUGUAAACUUCUUUUGUCAAGGGACAAAAUCAGGCUCGAGAGCCUGACCGAGGGUACUUGAAGAAAAAGCAUCGGCUAACCCCGUGCCAGCAGCCGCGGUAAUACGGGGGAUGCGAGCGUUAUCCGGUUUUAUUGGGUUUAAAGGGUGCGUGGGGGGGCUGUUAAGUCAGCGGGAAAAGCGCGGGGCCAAACCCCGGCGAGCCGUUGAAACUGGCUGUCUUGAGAAGGUGUGAGGUAUGCGGAAUGCGCAGUGUAGCGGUGAAAUGCUUAGAUAUUGCGCAGAACUCCGAUUGCGAAGGCAGCAUACC
rnacentral:rRNA from 1 species